UGAUGAUGAUGAGAUACUUGACGUUGGAUCAAGAACUCACGUUACUUUGAAGUGAGUUUGAUUUGGAAAACACUUAGAGUUGGAUCAAGUGUGUUUUAUUCUUUGAAAAAAGAUCUUUUUAUCGUUUGAUUUUAUAUUGUUAGUUAGAAUGCAAUGGCAAGCAUUAAAGGAAAGGGAAAUCCUAAGCUAUUACAUGUUCAUGGGAAUGGGG
rnacentral:lncRNA from 1 species